ensembl:lncRNA
CAACAGUAUAUAAAUGAUCAAAAACUAAUAGUACAACUACUUCUGUACUUUAACUUAAGUAGGAUUUUAAACACACAAUUGUUACACAAUACACAAUACUUUCAGCCAAGUAGUAAUCUUUUUUUUUUUUUAACUUUUAUUAGCAAUUAUUAGAAUUUAGUGUAAUAAACAGUUGGUUCAAUAGUUAAUAGUUAAGAAUAAAACUACUUUUGUAUUUGCAAUGUACGGUAGGUCACUCACACAACUGGCAACAGCAUGGCAGGACCUGUAGGGGGCGCUGGAGACCAUUUGUGGAGAUAAAGAAAUAACUCCUCGUUAGCUCACAGGCCGUAACGACUUGUCAAUUAGUUUGUUCACAAACUUGUGUUGUUGUUGCUGCUGCAUACUGUUUGUGGAGUAACCGAAACUGAAUGAAAUAUAACAGUAAAAUGACAAAACAGUUUAUUUAAAUCCCACAUAGUCCAGGUAACCAAGCCAGGAUAUGAAAUAGGAAAUGUGGCACACAUGCGGUUUUCGGAAAUCUAGCCGAGGCUGUCAAAACACCCGCACAAAGUCCAGCCUCAUGUCUGCCCACCGGGCCUGGCGUCGCGGCGGACAAUGACCUGUGUUUCCCCGGCACACAGUGCUCUCUGUGUCCGCUGGAGCUCCCCCCCCCCCCAGCCCCUCUCUAAUGGAGGUGAUUGGCCGUGUUCAGCACAGCACGCCCGCCGCUGCGUGUGAUUAAUCAACGGAGCGGAGAGAGGCGGCAGGCCGACAGGGACCCCGGGCAGCCAUGACGCCUCGGGUCCUCAUCUGUCGGUAGAGUUGAGAAAAGUCAUCAUCCGUCACAUCUGGUUUACAUUAAGGCAGAGCUGUCCAAAAUGGAGGAUAUCGCUCCAAUGUGGUGCUGACCUCUCCUUGUGUGUACUCAUAAGCGUGCUGUGGAUGGUGAGAUUGGGAAUUUCAUAUGCUGGGAGCUGUAUGUGGGGAUCAGCAAACGGUGAAACUGCAGCCUGGGAAGUUCACGGUGCUUUGAUGGAGCCAGAAUUCCAGGAGCUUUCCGUAAUCGUGGGAUGAGGCUGUGUCAUCCCUGUCACUCACCUGGAUUUAUCAGCAGGAAAUCUGGAAAUGAGACGGCAUUCCUGCCCCCUUCAGGAACUCAGACGGGUCGAACAGCAGACAAAGAGGGCCACAGUCACAGAUGAGAUGUGAUUUGACACUGAGCAGACUGCUGCUAUCUCACGCUUUGUCAAAAUAUAUCAUCUUUCAAGAUAUGUUUUGUAUUCUCAACCAAACUACAGAGAGAGUUUUGUUCAAAUAAACCCCUCGUAGAUCACAGUGAUUAAAAACCUGUUUGUAAAAAGCAGACCCUCUCCAGGCAGCAGCCGCCGCACACCCCUCGGGGCGGACCAGUGAACUAUGUACAACCCCCUACUAUUGAUGUUGACAUGUUCACUGACCUAGUCUAUCAACACACACACACACACAUACACACACACGCAUAAUUGGUCUGGCCUUUCCGUGCUAACUGGCGCUGAUAUCAUCUGUGUCGUUUGAUACGCUCUGAUCUGACCCCAGUGUCUCGGCUGCCCUCUGGUUCUGUACGCACCCAUCAGAGCACAAGACCCCGAGUGGGCUCGCUGACCCUGAGAUGAGCUUCUCUCUUCAGGACCCUGCAGGACCAGAGAGCACUUCUUUCAUUUAUGGGAUGUACGAG